AAUCAAACAAAACGCCUUUCUCCACUUACCUGAAGCAGCAACGAUCCCAAACCAAAUCCGACAGAAACACGUCAAAUCUCUCUUCAUUUCCAGUUCUCCAGUCCCGCGAAGGUUUAACCGAUGAUUAUUUUACUACAAAACGUCGCGUGUUUGAGGUGUUGAUGAGUGCAGGGAGAGAGAGAAAGGAGGAAAAAGUCUUAUGAGUUGAAUGGGACAAACUCAGGUGCGCUUGCUGUGGAACCGGGAAACCGUGAUUCUGUCACCAGAACCACGCGAGGAGGAUGUGCAUGGGUGAAAUAGAGGAGAGAGAGAGAGGGGGAAAACGCGUUUUUCUCUUUUCCUGUUAAAAAACAAAAGGAUUCAGCAAGACUUGAAUGGACACCACAAUAAUUUUACUGGGACGGGCACAUUGGACACACACACACACACACACACACACACACACACCCACACACACAACUCUCGUUACUAAUUUAGGCUAAGCCCUCCAGUCACCGUAGAGGAAUGACAAAUGUCCUUCCUGGAGUGAAGAUGUGAUCCCAACACUAUAUUAUCACCCCGUCAGACUGCUUCCUUUAACUGCCUGCUGUUCUGUACCUUGUGGACUCUGGUCUGGAUUACUGAGACUGCCUGCCGUUCUGUACCUUAUGGACUCUGGCCUGGAUUACUGACCUCUGCCUGCCGUUCUGUACCUUAUGGACUCUGGUCUGGAUUACUGAGACUGCCUGCCGUUCUGUACCUUAUGGACUCUGGUCUGGAUUCCUGACCUCUGCCUGCCCUGACCCUGAGACUGCCUGCCGUUCUGUACCUUUUCGACUCUGGUCUGGAUUACUGACCUCUGCCUGCCUUUGACCUGUCGUUUUGCCUGAACCCUGUUCUAGUAAUAAACUUUUGUUGCUUCAACACUGUCUGCAUCUGGGUAUUCCCUGAAACGUGAUACAGGCCUGCUAUCAGCUUUAUGUUAGAGUAAGAUACAGGACAUCUGGAAAUGAGAAACCUCUGUAGUAAAACACACACACCUAGGCAUGCAGGCUUGCUCACAGACUAACACACAGGCAUGCAGGCUUGCUCACAGACUAACACACACACACACACACAGGCAUGCAGGCUUGCUCACAGACUAACACACAGACACACAGACAUGCAGGCAUGCUCACAGACUAACACACAGACACACAGACAUGCAGGCUUGCUCACAGACUAACACACACACACACAGGCAUGCAG
ensembl:lncRNA